GAAGGUAUAGCUCAGUGGUAGAACACAUGCUUCGAAUGCAUGAGGUCCUGGGUUCAGUCCCCAGUACCUCCA
rnacentral:tRNA from 1 species